CCUACGGGCGGCUGCAGUGAGGAAUAUUGGUCAAUGGGCGCGAGCCCGAACCAGCCAAGUCGCGUGAGGGAAGACGGUCCUAUGGAUUGUAAACCUCUUUUGUCGGGGAGCAAAAGACGCCACGCGUGGCGUUCCGAGAGUACCCGAAGAAAAAGCAUCGGCUAACUCCGUGCCAGCAGCCGCGGUAAUACGGAGGAUGCGAGCGUUAUCCGGAUUUAUUGGGUUUAAAGGGUGCGCAGGCGGAAGAUCAAGUCAGCGGUAAAAUUGAGGGGCUCAACCUCUUCGAGCCGUUGAAACUGGUUGUCUUGAGUGAGUGAGAGGUAUGCGGAAUGCGUGGUGUAGCGGUGAAAUGCAUAGAUAUCACGCAGAACUCCGAUUGCGAAGGCAGCAUACCGGCGCUCAACUGACGCUGAUGCACGAAAGUGUGGGUAUCGAACAGGAUUAGAUACCCUUGUAGUC
rnacentral:rRNA from 1 species